UAAUACAUGGCAAGUCGAGCGGACAGAUGGGAGCUUGCUCCCUGAUGUUAGCGGCGGACGGGUGAGUAACACGUGGGUAACCUGCCUGUAAGACUGGGAUAACUCCGGGAAACCGGGGCUAAUACCGGAUGGUUGUUUGAACCGCAUGGUUCAAACAUAAAAGGUGGCUUCGGCUACCACUUACAGAUGGACCCGCGGCGCAUUAGCUAGUUGGUGAGGUAACGGCUCACCAAGGCAACGAUGCGUAGCCGACCUGAGAGGGUGAUCGGCCACACUGGGACUGAGACACGGCCCAGACUCCUACGGGAGGCAGCAGUAGGGAAUCUUCCGCAAUGGACGAAAGUCUGACGGAGCAACGCCGCGUGAGUGAUGAAGGUUUUCAGAUCAUAAAGCUCUGUUG
rnacentral:rRNA from 1 species